rnacentral:lncRNA from 1 species
UCAAGUAUACAACGUAGAUAUAAGGUUUUGAUGAGGAUCUAAAAGUAAUUUGGACGAGGAGACGAGGUUGAUAGGAUUAGACAAAUUUGCACAGAAAUGGGUGAAUGAGAGAAGCAAAAUAGAAUAACUGAAGAGCACAAUUUCAUGGGCAAUAAAUUUCACCAAUCUCAAAAUUACUAUAAAUUAGUUCACACUGAAUUGGGAUUGCUUUGGUUAGAAGAAUUUGACCAUUUCUUGAGUUUGGGUUAUAGGGUCGAAUUCAUGGGUUGCUAAGCCCAAGAUCACAAGGGUCACUCAAUGGACAAAAAGGGUUACAAACGAGGCCCAGAUUUGGGGAAUAUAAAUUCUCAUUUGGGACUAUUUAACUCAAAGGUAUUCCCCAUUUAUUUCAGGGAAAAUUGAACCAUUGGUCCCUUCCUAUUGUUCCAUUAAGAAGUUGAUCCUCAACUUUUAAAAGAUUAAAAGUUAAUUGUCAACCUUUCAAUUGAAACGCGUACUUUGUUUCCAAUAUCAAAAAUGUCCAAAUCUCCACAAGUGACCUCCAAGAAACAUGCCCUACUACAAAUGACUAGGCAUUGAUCCAAGUUAAAAGUCGAAAUUUAAUCCUGUAAGGUUAGACAUGUCAGGAUCAAACAUGAUCUAACAUGUCAAACAUCAUUUUUAUCCACACAUUCAAUAAGAUCCGAAUCUUUUCCCCAGUUUUAUUCACUCAUUUCAUAUGAUCCAUUACUUAUAAUCUAAAAAAAGAACUACUUUACCAGACAUUAACUUCUAAUCUAACANNN